rnacentral:rRNA from 1 species
UACGUAGGCAGCAAGCGUUGUUCGGAAUUACUGGGCGUAAAGGGCGCGUAGGCGGCCACCGCAAGUCGACUGUGAAAUCUCCGGGCUUAACCCGGAAAGGUCAGCCGAUACUGCGGGGCUAGAGUGCAGAAGGGGCAACUGGAAUUCUCGGUGUAGCGGUGAAAUGCGUAGAUAUCGGGAGGAACACCAGUGGCGAAGGCGGUCUUCUGGGAUGAUCCUGACGCUCAGACACGAAAGCUAGGGGAGCGAAACGGG